AUGGACCUGAACUCGAUCCUGCCUUCUCCGUCCCUCCUGCCACCACAUUACAAACUGCAGCUGGUUGGUUCCCUUGGAGCUCAGUUCAUCCCCCAGUCAACCUCCCAGAACCCUAGUUUCACCGCAGUGGGCGAGCGUCUAGGAAGAGCUUCAUCUCGCAGGCUACAGAACAAGUUAUCUGAUCAUCUGUCUACAGCCAAUAGAGUAGAAGCAGAUUCUUUGGUACCAGUUCAUCAAACGGUAAAUUUAUGUUUUCAUUACAAGAACAUACUGUGCCCAAAAAUGAAAUAUGACAAAUUUACCACCGUGGUCAAUAAUUCUUAA
rnacentral:lncRNA from 13 species